AAGAAAGCCGAGUGAUGGAAUCACCGCGGCGGCCGUCGGAAGGACCCGCCCGGAAAUGCCGACCAAGAGGGCGCCAUGUCAGUUAUGCGCGCGAGUGACGUCUCCUAACGCCAGCGCCCGCGCCCCAGGAAGUAGGGUUUGCCUUCGCGACUGUAUUUUUAAAUUCAUUGACACCCAAAUUCUAUGUGGCACUUACAGGGACAUCUUCACUGAUAUCAGGACUAAUAUUUAUAUUUGAAUGGUGGUACUUCCAUAAGCAUGGCACAUCUUUUAUUGAGCAAGUAUCUGUAAGCCAUUUGCAACCACUGAUGGGAGGAACAGAGAGCAGCAUUUCAGAACCAGGUUCUCCUUCGAGGAACAGAGAAAGUGAAACCAGCAGACAGAAUUUGUCAGGUGACUGCUUUUCUAAUGUGUUUUCAGAGCUGUGUAUUUAAGAUUGAGUUUGGCUCUGGGAGAUAGAAAACUCAAAACAGCAGAGUCCUGUAGUGUGCAUGUUUGUGUUUCCCCCAAAAUUCUAAUCACCAAUGUGAUGUUAUGAGGUAGGUUCUUUGGGAGGUGAUCAGGUCAUGAGGGCAC
rnacentral:sRNA from 1 species